GCCUGGGUGGCUCAGUUGGUUGAGCGUCUGACUUCGGCUCAGGUCGUGAUCUCACAGUCGGUGAGUUCGAGCCCCACGUCGGGCU
rnacentral:tRNA from 1 species